GUUAUAUGACCAAGAUAUUAAGCGCAAACGGUGGAUGCCUAGGCAGUAGAAGGCGAUGAAAGACGUGGUAGCCUGCGAAAAGCUUCGGAUAGUUGGCAAACGAACUGUGACCCGAAGGUGUCUGAAUGGGAAAACCCGGCCAGUUAGACUGGUCAUCAAUAACUGAAUACAUAGGUUAUUGAAGCGAACGCGGAGAAUUGAAACAUCUUAGUACCCGUAGGAAAAGAAAUCAACCGAGAUUCUGUGAGUAGCGGCGAGCGAAAGCGGAGCAGCCCAGUUACAUCAAUUUAGCAUGGUUAAUUAGAAUCACCUGGAAAGGUGAGCCAAAGAGAGUGAUAGCCUCGUAUAGGAGUUGCUAUGCUAAAGGGUAACGAAGAGUAGGUCGGGACACGUGUUAUCUUGACUGAAGAUGGGGGGACCAUCCUCCAAGGCUAAAUACUCUCUACUGACCGAUAGUGAACCAGUACCGUGAGGGAAAGGCGAAAAGAACCCCGAAAGGGGAGUGAAAUAGAACCUGAAACCGUUUGCGUACAAGCAGUAGGAGCAUGUAAUUUAUUACGUGUGACUGCGUACCUUUUGUAUAAUGGGUCAGCGAGUUAUUUGUAGUGGCAAGCUUAACUGAAUAAGGGAGGCGAAGGGAAACCGAGUCUUAAUAGGGCGAUAGUCGCUAUGAAUAGACCCGAAGCCAGGCGAUCUAUCCAUGUCCAGGGUGAAGGUCAGGUAACACUGACUGGAGGCCCGAACCCACUCCCGUUGAAAUGGUAGGGGAUGAGAUGUGGAUCGGAGUGAAAGGCUAAUCAAGCCUGGCGAUAGCUGGUUCUCCUCGAAAGCUAUUUAGGUAGCGCCUUGCGAGAUGACCUUUGGGGGUAGAGCACUGUUUAGGCUAGGGGGGAGUGAUAUCCUUACCAAACCUAGGCAAUCUCCGAAUACUGAAGAGUUUAUCGCAGGAGACACACGGCGGGUGAUAACGUCCGUUGUGGAGAGGGAAACAACCCAGACCGUCAGCUAAGGUCCCAAAGAGGUAGUUAAGUGGGAAACGAUGUGAGAAGGCCGAGACAGCCAGGAGGUUGGCUUAGAAGCAGCCAUCCUUUAAAGAAAGCGUAAUAGCUCACUGGUCGAGUCGGCUUGCGCGGAAGAUGUACCGGGGCUAAAACUAUCCACCGAAGCUACGGAUUCAGUAUUAUGUACUGAGUGGUAGAGGAGCGUUCUGUAAGCUGUUGAAGGUGUGCUGAGAAGUAUGCUGGAGGUAUCAGAAGUGCGGAUGCUGACAUAAGUAACGAUAAUGCGGGUGAGAAUCCCGCACGCCGAAAGUCUAAGGUUUCCAGCGCAACGUUCGUCGGCGCUGGGUGAGUCGGCCCCUAAGGCGAGGCUGAAAAGCGUAGUCGAUGGGAAACAGGUUAAUAUUCCUGUACUUGGAAUAUCAGUGAAGUGAUGACGGAGAAGGCUAAGUGAGCCAGAGAACGGUAGUUCUGGUUCAAGCGUGUAGGCAGAGUUCUUAGGAAAAUCCGGGAGCUCGUUAAUGCUGAGGCGUGAUGAGUAGUUUCAUUAUGAGACGAAGGAGCUGAUGCCCUGCUUCCAGGAAAAGUUGCUAAACAUAUGAUAUUUUGAACCGUACCGCAAACCGACACAGGUAGACAGGUAGAGAAUACUAAGGCGCGUGAGAGAACUCGGGUGAAGGAACUAGGCAAAAUGGUACCGUAACUUCGGGAGAAGGUACGCCGCUGGUUGUGAAGGUCUUAACGGCUGGAGCGAUUGGCGGCCUCAGAAACCAGGUGGCUGCGACUGUUUAACAAAAACACAGCACUCUGCAAACUCGUAAGAGGAAGUAUAGGGUGUGACGCCUGCCCGGUGCCGGAAGGUUAAUUGAUGAUGUGAGAGCAUUUGAUCGAAGCCCCGGUAAACGGCGGCCGUAACUAUAACGGUCCUAAGGUAGCGAAAUUCCUUGUCGGGUAAGUUCCGACCUGCACGAAUG
rnacentral:rRNA from 1 species